AUGGCCUGGACCCCUCUCCUCCUCGUGCUCCUCUCUCACUGCACAGGUUCCCUCUCCCAGCUUGUGCUGACUCAGCCGCCCUCCCUCUCUGCAUCUCCUGGAGCAUCAGCCAGACUCACCUGCACCCUCAGCAGUGGCUUCAGUGUUGGCGGCUACUACAUAUACUGGUUGCAGCAGAAGCCAGGGAGCCCUCCGAAGUUCCUCCUGUGGUAUAAAUCAGACUCAGAGAAGUACCAGGGAUCCGGGGUCCCCAGCCGCUUCUCUGGAUCCAAAGACGCCUCGGCCAACGCAGGGCUCCUGACCAUCUGUGGGCUGCAGCCUGAGGACGAGGCUGACUAUUACUGUGCUACACAUGAAGUCUCUAGUAGUAACUACCCUAACUGGUGCCAGCAGACCCCAGGCCAGGCUCCCCGCACGCUCAUCUAUGACACAGACAGCCGGCCCUCUGGGGUCCCUGAGCGCUUCUCGGGAUCCAUCUCUGGGGACAAAGCCACCCUCACCAUCACGGGGGCCCAGCCUGAGGACGAGGCCGACUAUUACUGUGCUACAGAGCAUGGCAGUGGGAGCAGCUUCCAUCGCUCACAGUGGCUCAGAUGA